rnacentral:ncRNA from 1 species
UUAAAAAUUUGUAUUUUAGGUUUUUUUAAUUAAAAUUAAUAGGGAAAGAGGUUAGAUUCCUCUGCAGCCCCCGCUACUGUAAAGCUGAUGAAACUUUCAAAACCACUGUAAUUUAUUAUGGGAAGGGAAAGUAGUAAAAUGAAGCUAAGCCAGGAGACCUGCCUAUAAUACUUAAAUUAUA